GAUGAACGCUGGCGGCGUGCCUAAUACAUGCAAGUCGAGCGAACAGACGAGGAGCUUGCUUCUCUGACGUUAGCGGCGGACGGGUGAGUAACACGUGGAUAACCUACCUAUAAGACUGGGAUAACUUCGGGAAACCGGAGCUAAUACCGGAUAAUAUUUUGAACCGCAUGGUUCAAUAGUGAAAGACGGUUUUGCUGUCACUUAUAGAUGGAUCCGCGCUGCAUUAGCUAGUUGGUAAGGUAACGGCUUACCAAGGCAACGAUGCGUAGCCGACCUGAGAGGGUGAUCGGCCACACUGGAACUGAGACACGGUCCAGACUCCUACGGGAGGCAGCAGUAGGGAAUCUUCCGCAAUGGGCGAAAGCCUGACGGAGCAACGCCGCGUGAGUGAUGAAGGUCUUCGGAUCGUAAAACUCUGUUAUUAGGGAAGAACAAAUGUGUAAGUAACUGUGCACAUCUUGACGGUACCUAAUCAGAAAGCCACGGCUAACUACGUG
rnacentral:rRNA from 1 species